CCUACGGGAGGCAGCAGUAGGGAAUUUUCCGCAAUGGGCGAAAGCCUGACGGAGCAAUACCGCGUGAGGGAUGACGGCCUGUGGGUUGUAAACCUCUUUUCUCAAGGAAGAAGUUCUGACGGUACUUGAGGAAUAAGCAUCGGCUAACUCUGUGCCAGCAGCCGCGGUAAUACAGAGGAUGCAAGCGUUAUCCGGAAUCACUGGGCAUAAAGCGUCUGUAGGUUGUUUAGUAAGUCUGCUGUUAAAGACUGGGGCUUAACCCCAGAAAAGCAGUGGAAACUGCUAGACUCGAGUGUGGUAGAGGUAGAGGGAAUUCCUAGUGUAGCGGUGAAAUGCGUAGAUAUUAGGAAGAACACCAAUGGCGAAGGCACUCUACUGGGCCAUAACUGACACUGAGAGACGACAGCUAGGGGAGCAAACGGGAUUAGAUACCCCGGUAGUCCUAGCCGUAAACGAUGGAUACUAGAUGUUGCACGUAUUAACCCGUGCAGUAUCGUAGCUAAGGCGUUAAGUAUCCCGCCUGGGAAGUACGCUCGCAAGAGUGAAACUCAAAGGAAUUGAGG
rnacentral:rRNA from 1 species